rnacentral:pre_miRNA from 1 species
CUGCUGCAUUGCUGCUGCAUUGCACGCGUGUGGCGGGUGCAGUGCCUCAGCAGUGCAGCCCGG